rnacentral:sRNA from 1 species
UUUUUCUUUCUUUCUUUUU